rnacentral:rRNA from 1 species
GACGAACGCUGGCGGCGUGCCUAAUACAUGCAAGUAGAACGCUGAAGGAGGAGCUUGCUCUUCUGGAUGAGUUGCGAACGGGUGAGUAACGCGUAGGUAACCUGCCUGGUGGCGGGGGAUAACUAUUGGAAACGAUAGCUAAUACCGCAUAACAGUAGAUGUUGCAUGACAUUUGCUUAAAAGGUGCAAUUGCACCACUACCAGAUGGACCUGCGUUGUAUUAGCUAGUUGGUGGGGUAACGGCUCACCAAGGCGACGAUACAUAGCCGACCUGAGAGGGUGAUCGGCCACACUGGGACUGAGACACGGCCCAGACUCCUACGGGAGGCAGCAGUAGGGAAUCUUCGGCAAUGGACGGAAGUCUGACCGAGCAACGCCGCGUGAGUGAAGAAGGUUUUCGGAUCGUAAAGCUCUGUUGUAAGAGAAGAACGAGUGUGAGAGUGGAAAGUUCACACUGUGACGGUAUCUUACCAGAAAGGGACGGCUAACUACGUG